rnacentral:rRNA from 1 species
GUGAGGAAUAUUGCGCAAUGGGGGAAACCCUGACGCAGCAACGCCGCGUGUGGGAAGAAGGCCUUCGGGUCGUAAACCACUUUUUGCACGGGACGAAAAAGGGAUAUCGAACAAAUAUCCCCGAUGACGGUACCGUGAGAAUAAGCCACGGCUAACUCUGUGCCAGCAGCCGCGGUAAGACAGAGGUGGCAAGCGUUGUUCGGAAUUACUGGGCGUAAAGAGUCUGUAGGUGGUUUGUCAAGUCUUUGGUGAAAGGCCGUAGCUUAACUAUGGGGAAUGUCCAAAGAGGACUGGCAGGCUGGAGGCUGGGAGAGGGAAGCGGGAAUUUCUGGUGUAGCGGUGAAAUGCGUAGAUAU